UACGUAGGGGGCUAGCGUUGUCCGGAAUCAUUGGGCGUAAAGAGCGUGUAGGCGGCCCGGUAAGUCCGCUGUGAAAGUCGGGGGCUCAACCCUUGAAUGCCGGCCGAUACUGCCGGGCUAGAGUCCGGAAGAGGUGAGUGGAAUUCCUGGUGUAGCGGUGAAAUGCGCAGAUAUCAGGAGGAACACCGAUGGCGAAGGCAGCUCACUGGGACGGUACUGACGCUGAGACGCGAAAGCGUGGGGAGCAAACAGG
rnacentral:rRNA from 1 species